CGCCUUCCUUCUCUUCUAUUGCUUCUUUUUUCUUGGCUUCUCUUAAUUCCCUGGGUCUCUCCAUUAAUUAAGAACACAAAGGAGAUUCUGUCCAAGAAACUCCGCAGCUAUCUGAGUGAAGAAAAAGAUAUCAUCAUCAUCCUUUUCCCCUUUCUUCCUUAAUUUCAUUUCUCUCGCUUAGCAUUCCACUUUUCUCUUUUUUCGACUGAUCUCCUCCAUUGGUAGCUUGUUGAGAUCAAAGCCGGUCGAAC
rnacentral:lncRNA from 1 species